rnacentral:rRNA from 1 species
UACAUGGGGUGCAAACGUUGCUCGGAAUCAUUGGGCGUAAAGCGCGCGUAGGCGGUUAUUUAAGUUGGAUGUGAAAGCCCUUGGCUUAACUGAGGAAGUGCAUCCGAAACUGGCAGGCUAGAGUACUAAAGAGGGUCGCGGAAUUCCCGGUGUAGAGGUGAAAUUCGUAGAUAUCGGGAGGAACACCGGUGGCGAAGGCGGCGACCUGGGUAGAUACUGACGCUGAGGUGCGAAAGCGUGGGGAGCAAACAGG